rnacentral:rRNA from 1 species
GACGAACGCUGGCGGCGUGCCUAAUACAUGCAAGUCGAACGCAGUUGCGAACGGGUGAGUAACGCGUAGGUAACUGCCUCAUAGCGGGGGAUAACUAUUGGAAACGAUAGCUAAUACCGCAUACUGUGAGAUGGACCUGCGUUGUAAUAGCUAGUUGGUGGGGUAAAGGCUCACCAAGGCCACGAUACAUAGCCGAGCUGAGAGGGUGAACGGCCAAACUGGGACUGGGACAAGGCCCCGAACUCUACGGGAAGCAAGAAGAGGGAAUCAUCGGAAAUGGACGGAAGUCUGGACGCAGAACGCCGGGGGGGUGAAGGAGGGUUUCGGGUCGGUAAGCUACGUUGAGCGAGGAGCGGUAACUGACCAGGAAGGAACGGCUAACUACGUGCCAGCAGCCGCGGUAAUUC